rnacentral:rRNA from 1 species
CCUACGGGAGGCAGCAGUGGGGAAUCUUGCGCAAUGGGCGGAAGCCUGACGCAGCGACGCCGCGUGCGGGACGAAGGCCUUCGGGUCGUAAACCGCUUUCAGCAGGGACGAGGCCCUCACGGUGACGGUACCUGCAGAAGAAGCCCCGGCUGGCGACGGGCCAGCAGCCGCGGGGAGAGGGGGGGGGCGAGCGUUAUCCGGGGUCAUUGGGCGGAGGGCGCGCGUGGGCGGCCGGUGAGGUCGGGGGUCAAAUACCGGGGCUCAACCCCGGUCCGCCCCCGAUACCGGCAGGCUUGAGUCUGGUAGGGGAAGGCGGAAUUCCCAGUGUAGCGGUGGAAUGCGCAGAUAUUGGGAAGAACACCGGCGGCGAAGGCGGCCUUCUGGGCCACGACUGACGCUGAGGCGCGAAAGCUAGGGGAGCGAACAGGAUUAGAUACCCUUGUAGUC